ACCUCCAAAUAUCCAGACCAUGACGGCAGCGUUGGUUGGCCUAGGACGCGGGGUAACGACGUUCACGUAAAGACAAUCUUCGCUCAACGGAGUGUUCGGAUUCCACAUCAUAGCUCCCGGAAAAUCGCCAAAUACGGUGUCCAAUAUUUGUACGCAACUGUUGGGCGGCGUUGUUGUAUUCAAAAUACCCUCCCAACGUUCCGCUGGGCGUGGAUGUCGGAACCUCAACGGUCCUGGCGACGAACGAAUAGGAGAAGGAGAGAAAUGGAAAAGACAUUGACAUUGAUGGUUGCCGUGAGAGUUAUUCCUCUGACCUUGCCCUUCCUGGUUCUUAUCACCAUAUCGUCAUCGUUUGAAUUCAGGUUAAGGGAUUCUGGUUUAGGAAGGGAGUGCAAAUCACCCUUAAUAACUUCCUCGUGCGAUACGUCGGAAGCGGCGUGAUGACGACGUCCCCUGUGAGGAGGGGAAGAAACUGACGUAUCCACUUGAAUAAGCAGGAAUAAUAAGAUCGGGACGGCGGCAGUGGUUAAGAGUGUUGGAAAACCAGGAGAAUUCGAUGCCGUUCUUCUGCGAAGGAGUUGCGUCUUUCGAAUCCGAGCAGUCAUCGUUGUACGAAGAAAACUUUCACUAUCGGCUCUUUGCUGCUCUGCUAAAAAUGAUCUGCGGCAAACACAAAAUUAACUUGUACAGUUAAAUUAGUUGAAUCAAUUAGCAGCCGUUGGAAUAGAGUCUGUUUUUGUUUCUUUUCCUUUCUCUCGAAAUCAUCUCAAAUAAGAAGAGCUUGGAUAACCGACGGUUUA
rnacentral:misc_RNA from 1 species